CCAGGAACCUGCACCUGCACCUGCACCUGUACCUAAACCUUCGACAUCGAAAGGUUCAAGUACAGGUUCCAAAGCGCCCAGGCCGAGGCGCGGCAGACCAACCGGUGCAAACCGGACCCCUCUCUCCCUGGAAGAACGGCGCGCAAGAAAUGCGCAGUACGAAAGGGAGAGGAGGGAGGAUUUAGCCCAGGCCCAGGCUGAGCUAGCUGAGGCCGCUGGGUGCGACCCAAAUGUAUCGGAGGCCGACUUGUUGGCAUUUGUAGUCAAUAAGUUGAGUGCAGACAAAUUAGAAGUAAAGCAGAGCAUUGAAGAAUACAGGCGGUUAAACGCCAAGUUGGAGGCACAGAUUGCCAGUUGUCUCCAGCGGUUGGGCCCGGACUAUGUUGAUAGUGAUGAUGAUGAGGAGGUGCAGCUGGAAGAGCCCAAUGGUCGGAAACGUAAAUCAUCAGAUGAGACGGUUGGUG